AGUGCCAUGUGUACCAGCUGGGGAAAGGGAUGGGAUCUGGAUCAGAGUUCAAGUCAACAUCUAUAAACAGUAUUCUUUCUCUGGGAGCAGUGUGCACGGGAAGGCCUGAUCUGUCACAUGCAAAUUGCAUGAGAGAGGGAGGAGAGGAGGUGCAGCAUAGACAGGCAAGUGCACAGAGGGUGAUGCUGAGGAUGGGCCUGGAGAAGAGUAUGAUCGCUGCAGGCACUGAAUUCCUUUCUAGAUCCCCAUCUCAGGGAUGGCACAGAAUCACACAAACGCAGGGCUGCAAGGGACCUCGAGAAGUCAUCAAGUCCAGCCCCUGCGCUGAGGCAAGACCAACGAAACCUAGACCAGCCCUGACAGUCUGAGUUUGUCUAACUUCAACUCCCAGCCAUUGGAUCCUGUUCAACAUUCGUCUGCUGGAUGGAAGAGCCCAGUAUCAAAGGGUUGUACUCCAUGAAGGUGACCCAUUGAAACUCAUUUCUGGCUGCCAGCCUUUGGUAUCACUUUCUGCACUGCAUGGUUAUAAAUAGCAGAGGCUGCAAAACACUUCGAUGAUGCUGAAUCCUGCAGAAAGGCAAGUUGCUUCACGUGGCCAUUUGCUUCCAAACAGAAUUCCACUGGAACCCUUAAGGAUGCUUUAAAGGCCACCACGGAAUGUGGUCACUUGUGACAGGUUCAUCCCUUAACGUGUAGUAAGCCCCAAA